ACAGCAGUCGCCACGGGAAUACGGAGGGAGCUAGCGUUGUUCGGAAUUACUGGGCGUAAAGCGCGCGUAGGCGGUUACUCAAGUCAGAGGUGAAAGCCCGGGGCUCAACCCCGGAACUGCCUUUGAAACUAGGUGACUAGAAUCUUGGAGAGGUCAGUGGAAUUCCGAGUGUAGAGGUGAAAUUCGUAGAUAUUCGGAAGAACACCAGUGGCGAAGGCGACUGACUGGACAAGUAUUGACGCUGAGGUGCGAAAGCGUGGGGAGCAAACAGGAUUAGAUACCCGGGUAGUCCCUGUCUCUUAUAU
rnacentral:rRNA from 1 species